rnacentral:rRNA from 1 species
GGCAGCAAUGUCACCGUCGUACGGGUGCGUAACGCGUAUGCAACCUACCUAUCACUGGGGGAUAGCCCGGGGAAACCCGGAUUAAUACCGCAUAACACAGGGGCUCCACAUGGAGAUAUUUGUUAAAGAUUUAUCGGUGGUAGAUGGGCAUGCGUUCGAUUAGCUAGUUGGCGGGGUAACGGCCCACCAAGGCGACGAUCGAUAGGGGAGCUGAGAGGUUGAUCCCCCACACGGGCACUGAGAUAC